GACGAAGGUCCCAAACGAUGUUCGGAAUCACUGGGCUUAAAGGGUGCGUAGGCGGGUUGUCCAGUCUGGGGUGAAAUCCCACGGCUCAACCGUGGAAUUGCCUCAGAUACUGACGACCUCGAGGGAGGUAGGGGCGAGCGGAACUGUGGGUGGAGCGGUGAAAUGCGUUGAUAUCCACAGGAACUCCGGUGGCGAAGGCGGCUCGCUGGACCUCUUCUGACGAUGAGGCACGAAAGCUAGGGGGGCAAACGGG
rnacentral:rRNA from 1 species